rnacentral:pre_miRNA from 1 species
CGAUGUUGGGUAGAGUUAUAUGGAAUGAAAGAUGUGAAUUUCUUUUUAGAUUCUAUUCAUUCAAUUUUCUCUCUUUUUUUCCAUACAUCAUCUAACCAACAAACU